rnacentral:rRNA from 1 species
CAGCCGCCGCGGUAAUACGAAGGGUGCAAGCGUUAAUCGGAAUUACUGGGCGUAAAGCGUGCGUAGGCGGUGAGUUAAGUCUGCUGUGAAAUCCCCGGGCUCAACCUGGGAAUGGCAGUGGAUACUGGCUCGCUAGAGUGUGUCAGAGGAUGGUGGAAUUCCCGGUGUAGCGGUGAAAUGCGUAGAGAUCGGGAGGAACAUCAGUGGCGGAGGCGGCCAUCUGGGACAACACUGACGCUGAGGCACGAAAGCGUGGGGAGCAAACAGGAUUAGAUACCCCAGUAGUCCCUGUCUCUUAUAC